rnacentral:rRNA from 1 species
AGUGAACGCUGGCGGUAGGCCUAACACAUGCAAGUCGAACGGCAGCACAGUAAGAGCUUGCUCUUACGGGUGGCGAGUGGCGGACGGGUGAGGAAUACAUCGGAAUCUACUUUUUCGUGGGGGAUAACGUAGGGAAACUUACGCUAAUACCGCAUACGACCUACGGGUGAAAGCAGGGGAUCUUCGGACCUUGCGCGAUUGAAUGAGCCGAUGUCGGAUUAGCUAGUUGGCGGGGGAAAGGCCCACCAAGGCGACGAUCCGUAGCUGGUCUGAGAGGAUGAUCAGCCACACUGGAACGGAGACACGGUCCAGACUCCUACGGGAGGCAGCAGUGGGGAAUAUUGGACAAUGGGCGCAAGCCUGAUCCAGCCAUACCGCGUGGGUGAAGAAGGCCUUCGGGUUGUAAAGCCCUUUUGUUGGGAAAGAAAAGCAGCAGGUUAAUACCCCGCUGUCCUGACGGUACCCAAAGAAUAAGCACCGGCUAACUUCGUG